GACGUAGGGCGCGAGCGUUGUCCGGAUUUAUUGGGCGUAAAGAGCUCGUAGGCGGCUCGUUGCGUCGGCUGUGAAAACCCGCAGCUCAACUGUGGGCUUGCAGCUGAUACGGGCGGGCUGGAGUUCGGUAGGGGAGACUGGAAUUCCUGGUGUAGCGGUGAAAUGCGCAGAUAUCAGGAGGAACACCGGUGGCGAAGGCGGGUCGCUGGGCCGAUACUGACGCUGAGGAGCGAAAGCGUGGGGAGCGAACAGG
rnacentral:rRNA from 1 species